rnacentral:rRNA from 1 species
CCCUUAGAUGUUCUGGGCCGCACGCGCGCUACACUGAUGCAUUCAACGAGUCUAAAACCUGCUCUGAUAGGGGUGGGUAAUCUUUUGAAUGUGCAUCGUGAUUGGGAUAGAUGAUUGCAAUUUUUCAUCUUCAACGAGGAAUGCCUAGUAAACGCAAGUCAUCAGCUUGCAUUGAUUACGUCCCUGCCCUUUGUACACACCGCCCGUCGCUCCUACCGAUUGAAUGAUCCGAUGAAUAUCAUGGAUUGAGGAUGCAAGCAGUUUCGCCUGUCUUCAUCUUCGAGAAGUGAAGUAAAUCUUAUCAUUUAGAGGAAGGAGAAGUCGUAACA